AUAUGCCCCACGUUUAAUACGUAUACAUCAUCAUGUGUGUAAAUGUGAUCGGUGUAUGUGAUAUAUUCAUGGGGGUUUCACAUCUACAGUACAUCAAAAGGCAUAAAUGUACUAGUUCUAUGCUGGAAUUACCUCACAAAGAAAACGCUCCAUCUUACGCUCUGUCAUCGAAGUAUAGAUCAGGAGGACAGCUGGUUUCGCUUUAACAUCUUUUAACAAGCAUUACAUCUGCUGACAGGAUAGAAAUUGGUACUUCAUCAGACUUAUCAUUAAUGGAUUUUGAAGAUAGUUGAGCCAAAGCAUUGUUUUUCCAAAAAGAGCCACAUCCUCGCCACAUAAAAAAAAACGCUUCUUCAUUUUCCAUCUGACGAACUCGAAUAAUACGAAUAAUGAACCUUUGGUCACAGAAUGAUGCCCAACAAUGAGAAAUUAGAAGGAAGGUUUAUAUCCAGAGGUAUAUGAGCUUGACGUGAUCAGCUAUCAACAUGCCGCUUUUUAACAGGACACUGUGGCUACGACGAAGAAAGAUGGACUACACAUGGGUGUUGGUUAGUAUGGCAACAUUCUGGUUGUUGUGUUCUAUCUCUUCAAUCAUGUUCAGGACGUUUGCCGGAAGCUCUCCACCUAUAAGAACUGGCCAUUUGGUUGAUUGGGAUGGACGCGUCUACGUGAAAUCGAAGAACAAAACCGAUUUCGCAAGAAAAGGUUUCUAUCACUAUCCCUUCCCGAGGAGUGACAUGUGUUUCUUUUCACGUUUUUUGGAAGCAGAAGGAAUGCCUAAACUUCAUUCAGCGUUCGCUGAUCCCGUAUCUCACAACGUCGUCUUUAUCGGCACGCGCUUUCUCGCAGACAACUGGACGCGCGAAACAUUCGUCGCCCAUUUUGAAAAUGGUCAGCGAAGAUUGUGUGAUCCUAUCGUGGAAGAUUUUUUUAGUUUUGGAUACAUCUCACAGUUCAAUAUCGUUCUCACUUGCCCGCUUCCACAGUUUCUACACAAGCGUCUUAAUUUUUCGCUGAACCUGCAGCGUAUUUCGAAUGUCAAGAAGUAUCGCAGAUACGCCUAUGACAACCUGACAAUUUGUCAAUCUGGAGCAUCGAAAUUUCAACGGUAUCUCCUAUCAGCGUGCACCAUGGUGAGAAACAUGGAUCACUACCUACCAGAAUGGAUUGCUUUCCAUAGGUAUGUGGGUGUGCAACACUUCUUCCUCUAUGAUAACGAGCCAGAGGAAACGAGUAAACUCCGGAAGACUGUUCGUCGGGAGAUCGCGGAGGGCGUCGUAACAGUCAUACCAUGGACACACAUUGCCCUUGGACAGAAGACGUAUUUGGAAGUGCAGAUUGCUCAUGAAAACGACUGCCUAUGGAGAAACAGGUACCGAACAAAAUGGAUGAUUAAAAUAGACGUGGAUGAGUUUGUGCAACCAAUGAAUGCUAGCAAGCGAAAAAUUACAGAUUAUUUGGAAGGUCCAUAUUUUGAGACGAUGGGGGCUGCUAGAUUGCAGAACUGGUUUUUCGGUCGCCAUGAUUUCGAUAAGUCAGCGGGGGCUACCAAUAAUUCGAUCAUAGAAAGAAAUACGUGGAGACCAAGCUAUCCUUCACCGCAGAACUGUGGCCGGGACAAAAAUAUUAUUCAACCAAAGUAUGUCCAUUAUUUCAAAAUUCACGCCAUCAAAGUUGGCGGAGAAGCGGUAUCUUUGAAUCCACACGACGAGUUACGGUUAGUUCACUACAGACAAGACAAUUCACGUGUCAGACAUUUUGAUCUUCCGCCUUUCACGACUCAGGAUGUUAGCAUGGUUGAACUUAUAGUAAAAGCACGAAAGGUCUUUGGAAAUCAAACUAAAGGUUAAUUUUAUGGAAAAUACAAUGGGGAGAAAACUUUUAAAUAUCCCCUUUAUUGAAGAUCAUCAUUCAAUUAUUAUCAAUAUUGUUAUCGUUAAUAUUAUUAUAAUACUUAUUACUUGUAUUAGUGUUAUAAUUAUCAUCAUCAUCAUGACCAUUAAUGUAUUGCUUUGUCAAUUAGAAGCUGACUGAAAGCAGUUGAGUGUGAGUCUAGCCUUGAAAUGAUGAGCCCAUAAUCUAAGUACGUACAUGUACAUUUUAAGAACUGAAGUGUUAAAUCACCAUUUAGAAGGGCCGAGGAGUGACCACCCUUUCAAAAUGUCAGACUGAUGCUUCUAACUAGAUUCAACCUUUACAAUAUUGGAUCCAUCAUGUUCAAAGUGUUAUUCUACCAUUUUGAAAAAUUGGUCACUCCUCGGCCUUUUUAAAUGGUGAUUUAACAUUUCAGUACUCCAAUUCUCAGGACCAAAUUUGAAUGUCACCUGUGCGUAUACUUCCAAUGCCCAUAUUUGUGUAUGGUGAUUGUAGGCGAUUUUCAGCAGAGAUUAACUGGUUUGUUGUCAGCUUGUCUAUUAAAAAAAAUAAUACACAAUCAUUCUCAUAAACUACACAAUAA